GAUGAACGCUGGCGGCGUGCCUAAUACAUGCAAGUCGAGCGAACAGACGAGGAGCUUGUUCCUCUGACGUUAGCGGCGGACGGGUGAGUAACACGUGGAUAACCUACCUAUAAGACUGGGAUAACUUCGGGAAACCGGAGCUAAUACCGGAUAAUAUAUUGAACCGCAUGGUUCAAUAGUGAAAGACGGUUUUGCUGUCACUUAUAGAUGGAUCCGCGCCGCAUUAGCUAGUUGGUAAGGUAACGGCUUACCAAGGCAACGAUGCGUAGCCGACCUGAGAGGGUGAUCGGCCAAACUGGAACUGAGACACGGUCCAGACUCCUACGGGAGGCAGCAGUAGGGAAUCUUCCGCAAUGGGCGAAAGCCUGACGGAGCAACGCCGCGUGAGUGAUGAAGGUCUUCGGAUCGUAAAACUCUGUUAUUAGGGAAGAACAAAUGUGUAAGUAACUAUGCACGUCUUGACGGUACCUAAUCAGAAAGCCACGGCUAACUACGU
rnacentral:rRNA from 1 species